rnacentral:lncRNA from 1 species
UUUUUCAUGAAUUUUCUCUUUUCUUUUUUGUUUCAAUUGGUUAAAAAAAUACUUUUCUGCAUUUUAAAAUUCUUAAAAUUUUAUUAUGUGUUUCUCAUUUUAUUUCCAACCUUCCAUAAUUUUCUUGGCCAUUUAUUUGGUGUUUUAAAAGACUUUGGGGAUUUUCCAUUUUAAAAAUACCUUUAAUGCAUUUUUAUUUCAUUUAAUUGCAUUUUUAACUUGUUUAACCUUGUGAACUUUUGUUGGCCUUGGAUCAUGAUGAUUUUGACUUCAAGUCUCAUCAAACUCAAUGGAUCUUGGGUGUUGAUGGGGUGAAAAACCUAAUC